AUUGAACGCUGGCGGCAGGCCUAACACAUGCAAGUCGAGCGGGGUUUUCGGACCUAGCGGCGGACGGGUGAGUAAUGCGUAGGAAGCUACCCGAUAGAGGGGGAUACCAGUUGGAAACGACUGUUAAUACCGCAUAAUGUCUACGGACCAAAGUGUGGGACCUUCGGGCCACAUGCUAUCGGAUGCGCCUACGUGGGAUUAGCUAGUUGGUGGGGUAAUGGCUCACCAAGGCGACGAUCCCUAGCUGGUUUGAGAGGAGGAUCCGCCACACUGGAACGGAGACACGGUCCAGACUCCUACGGGAGGCAGCAGUGGGGAAUAUUGAACAAUGGGCGAAAGCCUGAUCCAGCCAUGCCGCGUGUGUGAAGAAGGCCUUCGGGUCGUAAAGCACUUUCAGUAGGGAGGAAGGGUUAAGUGUUAAUAGUACUUAACUUUGACGUUACCUACAGAAGAAGCACCGGCUAACUCUGUGCCAGCCGCCGCAGUAACAC
rnacentral:rRNA from 1 species